rnacentral:lncRNA from 1 species
AGUCUAUAUAUGUGGAUGAAUAUAAAAACCAUCCAUAUGUUUGCUUUGAGAUUUAUACAGGUGGUUGAAUAUUUGAAUCAUCCAUAUUUUGCUUUGAGCUUUAUGCAGAAAUCAUCCCCGACCAUAGAUUUGGGAACUAGAGCUUGAAUUAAUCUCUCUCCUCUUCUUUCUCUUCCUCCAUGUUGCUGAUGGUCGAUGGAUGGUACAUGCAGCAACAUCAACGGAUAGCACAUGCGGUAGUUUCUCCCUUUAAACUCUAACGUCUUGGGCUAUAGGCCCCUCCUCUUUGCCCUCUUGCCUUUGCAACCUCCCCACC